GUGGUGGAGAGGGUUUGAGCAAUGACGUUGAUGGUGAUGACGGCAGCCGGCCGGCGCCGGAGCUGCACCGGCGACGACUGCAGUAGAGGUUCGGGUUCACUUCAGAUUUUGUCGGGUUUUCGGCUCGGUUUCGGGUCUCGGUCAAAGUUGGUCAGCCGCGGUUCGGGUGUGGUUCGACGGGUCAGAUUGAAUUUUCCUUUCAGCUUUAUGACCUCAAGCAGCAAGGUUUCAUAGAGAGGCAAGAGGUGAAAUUUUUUUAGUAGACGAAAACACUGCGUUUUAGCGAUUUUUAUUACAAGAA